rnacentral:lncRNA from 1 species
AAGAAAAAAAAAGAGUUGAUUAGAAACUUGAAGAAGUGAGUUUUUAUGAAAGGGUGAAAGUAUGAAAAGAAACAAGAAUAAGAAAUCACCAUUGAAACCAUAGAGCAAAGAAAAAGAAAAGAAAGAAAAAAAAACAAAGAAAAGACUCAUGGUUGUGUAGAUGUAAAAAGAAAAAGAAAAAAAAGAAAAAGACGGGUAUCAAAGAAAUGGAAAUUGUGUAGAGUUGAAUGUUUGGGAAUGCUCCCUUAAGAUAGGCAUUUUUGUUAAAUUCUCUUAAUCAUAUCCUUUCUUGUAACCCAAGCCACAU